rnacentral:rRNA from 1 species
CACGUAGGAGACAAACGUUAUCCGGAGUUACUGGGCGUAAAGGGCGUGUAGGCGGUCUGUUAAGUCUGGCGUGAAAGCUCUCGGCUAAACCGGGAGAGGUCGUUGGAUACUGGCAGACUAGAGGACGGUAGAGGCGUGUGGAAUUCCGGGUGUAGUGGUGAAAUGCGUAGAGAUCCGGAGGAACACCAGUGGCGAAGGCGACACGCUGGGCCGUACCUGACGCUAAAGCGCGACAGCAUGGGGAGCAAACGGG